GAUACCCACAUGAACGAAACCAACAGAGACGGGAUCGCACACGGCUCCUCGACGGAAAAAAGACCAGCGGAGGCACGGCGAAUCCAAGCCAAUUCCGGCUCCCAGCUCCGCAAGCCUCUUUGCUCUCUCCUGCCCGCCUCCAUGCCGUCGCCCUCGCUCCGCCUCGCCGUCGUCGGCGCGGGCGCGGCCGGCCUGGCGGCGGCACGGGAGCUCCGCCGCGAGGGCCACGCCCCCGUCGUCUUCGAGCGCGCCGCCGCCGUGGGGGGCACCUGGCUCUACGCCUCCCCCGCCCCCGCAGCCGCCGCCGACCCGCUCGGCGCCGCCGCCACCCACUCCAGCCUCUACGCUUCGCUCCGCACCAACCUCCCCCGCGAGGUCAUGGGCUUCCUCGACUUCCCCUUCACCGCGGCGCGCGGCUCCGUCGUCGACGCGCGCAGGUUCCCCGGCCACCAGGAGGUGCUUCGGUACCUCGAGGACUUCACGCAGCGGUUCGACCUUUACGGGCUCGUCCGGUUCCAGACGGAGGUGGUCGGGGUCCGGAGGGAGGCCGGCGGGAGGUGGGCGGUGACGUCGAGGAAGCUCGGGGAGAAGGGGGAGCAGGACGAGGAGCUGUAUGAUGCCGUCGUGGUUUGCAAUGGCCAUUAUUCAGAGCCUCGCGUCGCCUCCAUACCUGGUGAUCUGUACUUUCCAACAUUGACAGGUGCAGAUGCCUGGCCUGGAAAGCAGAUGCAUAGCCACAAUUACCGUGUGCCUGAGCCAUUCCUUGAUCAAGUAGUGAUCGUUAUUGGGGCCUCGGCAAGUGCAGUUGACAUUUCGAGGGACAUUGCAAGCGUUGCGAAGGAGGUCCAUAUUGCCGAUAGAUCAGCGCCGACUUCCACUUGUGAACAGCAGCCUGAAUAUGACAACAUGUGGCUUCAUUCCAUGAUUGACCAUGCACAGGGAGAUGGCACUGUGGUGUUCCAGGAUGGCAGCUCAAUCAAAGCGGAUGUCAUCAUGCACUGUACUGGCUACCUGUAUGACUUCCCGUUUCUUGGGGAUGAUAGCACCAUCACUGUGGAUGACAACUGCGUUGAUCCAUUAUACAAGCAUGUUUUCCCUAUAGAAGUGGCUCCUGAUCUGUCUUUCAUCGGAGUGCCGUGGAAGGUUAUCCCUUUUCCACUGGUUGAACUCCAAAGCAAAUGGGUCGCCGGUAUUCUAUCUGGACGGAUCAAGCUUCCAUCGAAAGAUGAAAUGAUGGAAGAUGUCAAAGCCAUCUACUCGAGACUGGAAACUCGUGGAUGGCCCAAGAGAUAUACCCACAACUUCAGUGGUGGUUAUCAGUUCGAAUACGAUGAUUGGCUCGCGGAGCAAUGUGGCCAUCCACCUAUUGAAGAAUGGAGGAAGCUGAUGUAUGCUGCUAAUGCGAAGAAUAAGGCUGCUCGUCCGGAAAGAUACCGCGAUGAGUGGGAUGAUGAUGGUCUGGUGGCACUAGCAAAUGAGGACUUCAAAAAAUACUUCUAAUCUAUGUUGUGGACUGUGAUUAUCAUUUUCAUUGCCAGGACGCGGUGAUAAUCAUUGCAGUAAUUAUUUUACAGCAAUACAAGCGCUCGUACGACAAAAUAAGUUGGUCUAUGAUUUUCGCAUUAGAUGAUGGUUACGCAAAUAAGAUAAAAUUGGAAGGCCCUUCAAUUCUGCAUUCUUGUGCAUAAAAGAAUUCCCUACAGGACCCGGUGAAGCGGUUGCAUCAACGCAAGAUGAAGCAGGCAUAGCCACCAAAUUGGUCCUAGCGGCACGCUGUAACGGCCCCCGAGUUUUAGUUUCGCCUCGGGCCUCUAAAAUCCCAUGACCGGCCCUGCUCCAUUGGGGUAUGUGAUCACAACUUAUGUUCUUGUUUUGAUAAAGCACAAAAGCACAACGUGGAGGCAAGAUUCCUUUGGUCGAUCUUCCUAUCAACCGGGUGUCUGCACGAGUGCACCGAAAUCAGUGGCCCAAGCCGGACUGCAUUGUCGGUCCAUGGUUCUUAUGUGCAAGAAACCAGCGAGAGGGAGUACUGGGACGUGUUCAAAAGCAAGGUGACCCCCUCCCCCACCCCCCAAAGUCAGGAUCGGCAAAGAGGUCGGGUGACGUCCCGCAUAGCGACAAGAUGGCGUUCAGUGCUGGACAAUGAUUUACUUCUUUCGUCCCAAGAUUCUUGUCUUAAAUUUGUCUAAGUACGGAUGUAUCAAGCGACGGAGGAAGUAUAUCUGUAGAGGCAUGAGAGCACGGGUAACAUCGAAGCAGGCAUGCAUCACUGUCAUCUAGAGCAUGGCAGCGACAAUGUUAUUGCUGGAGGCUCGAGUGCCCGGCAUGAUGAUGAAAAUGAAGCUGGAAUGGAAUGGCGCCAGAGCAGGAGGACGAGACGAGUAUGUACCAGACAAAAAGAUACAAAUUUCUACUAUAUGACAAUCAAGAGGACAAGAUUUGAUGUCUAUUAACCUCGCCAAACUUUACUAGAGGACAAGAUUUUUUCGGGUGACAAUGUACGGGCAUUCCUUUAGUAUAUUAUAAUAGCUUUUGAUGUCUAUUAACCUCGCCAAA